UACAGACGGUGCAAGCGUUAAUCGGAAUUACUGGGCGUAAAGCGUGCGUAGUCGGUUAUCUAAGUCGGGUGUGAAAUCCCCGGGCUCAACCUGGGAAUUGCAUUCGAUACUGGAUAGCUAGAGUUCGGCAGAGGGAAGCGGAAUUUCGGGUGUAGCGGUGAAAUGCGUAGAUAUCCGAAGGAACAUCAGUGGCGAAAGCGGCUUCCUGGACCAGAACUGACGAUCAGGCACGAAAGCGUGGGGAGCAAACAGG
rnacentral:rRNA from 1 species